UCAGAACUAACUCCCGAACCAUCCACGGCAGAAGCAAUAUUUACACAAGCAGAAUUUCCUAAAAGGAGAUGGGAGAAAGCAAUAAAUGAAUAAAUCAAGACAAACUAAAUAGUGGCAAAUUACACAUCUUCGCCACUAAAUUGUAACAUCUUCGCAAGAGUGUCGGCCUAAGUCCAGAAAAAUGAACAGCAGGAAAAAAGCAAUUUAACUCAACUCAAGAAAGCCAUUGUCCAAACUAUUUGGGCUUCACUGCCUGAUGUUCUAAGUUAGAUAAGAAAAUCCAAUCUAUGAAUCCAUUAACAAUUCAAAGAUUUUGUUAAAGUCACUUCCUUUCUUUUCACAUUUCUGUUCUUGCUUUACAAAUCAUAAGAGCCAACUCAACUAGGGGAUAAGAGGAUCAUGUUUAUUCACAAUGCCACCACUCAGCUGACAGUAUACCCCAGGCAUCUCAGGGUAUAAGAAAAAGGACAUAGCCAUUGCACCUCCAACAACCUUCCUCCCCACCUCCCUAAUGAACAAAUAAAUAUAUAAAAGAAAAACACACACUUCAAAAAAGAAGAAAAAUUAUCCGAAACUUAAAUGACCUGAAAUCACAUGGUUGUUGUGGAAAGAACAUAGACGCAGUAUGCUUCAUAAAAACAAAUAAACAGAAAAUUCUUUGAUGGACAUCGGGUAAUGAUACAUAUGGAGCUACAAAUAAACAAUCUUGCAUGUGAACAAGAAACUUACUC
rnacentral:lncRNA from 1 species